GUGCUUCCUUCAGCAGCACAUAUACUAAAAUUGAAACGAUAUACAGAAGAUUAACAUGGCCUCUGUACAAGGACGACAUGAAAAUUUCUUGAAGCUUUCCAUAUUUUU
ensembl:snRNA U6 U6 spliceosomal RNA